rnacentral:rRNA from 1 species
GACGAACGCUGGCGGCGUGCUUAACACAUGCAAGUCGAACGGUAAGGCCCUUCGGGGUACACGAGUGGCGAACGGGUGAGUAACACGUGGGUGAUCUGCCCUGCACUUCGGGAUAAGCCUGGGAAACUGGGUCUAAUACCGGAUAGGACUCCUGGCUUCAUGGUUGGGGGUGGAAAGCUUUUGCGGUGUGGGAUGGGCCCGCGGCCUAUCAGCUUGUUGGUGGGGUAAUGGCCUACCAAGGCGACGACGGGUAGCCGGCCUGAGAGGGUGAACGGUCAAACUGGGACUGAGAUACGGCCCAGACUCCUACGGGAGGCAGCAGUGGGGAAUAUUGCACAAUGGGCGCAAGCCUGAUGCAGCGACGCCGCGUGAGGGAUGACGGCCUUCGGGUUGUAAACCUCUUUCAGCUAUGACGAAGCGCAAGUGACGGUAGUAGCAGAAGAAGGACCGGCCAACUACGUGCCAGCAGCCGCAGUAA